GUACCAUAACCGACACAGGUGGGUAGGUAGAGUAUACUAAGGGGCGCGAGAUAACUCUCUCUCUAAGGAACUCGGCAAAAUGACUCCGUAACUUCGGGAGAAGGAGUGCCUUAUUUCAUAAGGUUGCAAUAACAAGAUCCAAGCAACUUUUACCAAAAACACAGGUCUCCGCUAAGUCGUAAGACGAUGUAUGGGGGCUGACGCCUGCCCAGUGCCAGAAGGUUAAAGAAGUUGGUUAGCCUAGCGAAGCUGAUGACUGAAGCCCUGGUGAACGGCGGCCGUAACAAUAACGGUCCUAAGGUAGCGAAAUUCCUUGUCGGGUAAGUUCCGACCCGCACGAAAGGCGUAAUGAUUUGGAUACUGUCUCGGAGAGGGGCUCGGUGAGAUAGACUUGUCUGUGAAGAUGCGGACUACCUGCACCUGGACAGAAAGACCCUAUGAAGCUUUACUGUAACUUGAGAUUGAAAUUGGACUUUAUUUGCGCAGUAUAGGUGGGAGACGUUGAGAAUACUCUUGCGGGAGUAUUGGAGUCAUCAGUGAGAUACCACUCUUGUAAUGUUAGAUUUCUAACUUUGGAUCAUUAUCUGGUCAAAGGACAGUUUCAGGCGGGCAGUUUGACUGGGGCGGUCGCCUCCCAAACGGUAACGGAGGCGCACAAAGGUUUCCUCUGAACGUGUAGAAAUCGUAUCUAGAGUGUAAAGGCAUAAGGAAGCUUGACUGUGAGACCUACAAGUCGAGCAGGGACGAAAGUCGGUCUUAGUGAUCUGACGGUGCUGAGUGGAAAGGCCGUCACUCAACGGAUAAAAGUUACUCUAGGAUAACAGGCUGAUCUCCCCCAAGAGUUCACAUCGACGGGGAGGUUUGGCACCUUGAUGUCGGCUCAUCGCAUCCUGGGGCGGUAGUACGUCCCAAGGGUUGGGCUGUUCGCCCAUGAAAGCGGUACGCGAGCUGGGUUCAGAACGUCGUGAGGCAGUUCGGUCCAUAUCCGGUGUAGGCGUUAGAAUAUUGAGAGGAGCCUUCUUUAGUACGAGAGGACCGAGAAGGACAUACCUCUGGUGUACCAGUUAUCGUGCCAACGGUAAACGCUGGGUAGCUAUGUAUGGAGUGGAUAACCGCUGAAAGCAUCUAAGUGGGAAGCCCACCUCAAGAUAAGUAUUCUCAUCACGAAAGUGAGUAAGGUCACGGUAAGACUAACCGUUUGAUAGGCAUUAAGUGUAAAUGUAGCAAUAUAUGAGCUGAGAUGUCCUAACAGACCGAGGACUUGA
rnacentral:rRNA from 1 species